GAUGAACGCUAGCUCCAGGCUUAACACAUGCAAGUCGAGGGGAAACGACAUUGAAGCUUGCUUCGAUGGUCGUCGACCGGCGCACGGGUGAGUAACGCGUAUCCAACCUGCCUCUGACCAAGGGAUAACCCGUCGAAAGUCGGCCUAAUACCUUAUGCAGUCGUCGGAAGUCAUCUGAUGACGACGAAAGAUUUCAUCGGUGAGAGAUGGGGAUGCGUCUGAUUAGCUUGUUGGCGGGGUAACGGCCCACCAAGGCAACGAUCAGUAGGGGUUCUGAGAGGAAGGUCCCCAACAGUGGAACUGAGACGCGGCCCACACGCCCAGGGGAGGAAGAGGUGAGGAAUUGGGGUCAAGGGGAGAGGGCCUAAACCACCCAAGUGGGGGGAAGUAGGGCGGCACUUGGGUUUUUAACUUGUUUUAUGGGGGGAAUAAGGGGAGGGCCGUGCCUUUCAUUGAAGGUACCGAAUAAAAAAGGCCGGGCUAAUCCGGUG
rnacentral:rRNA from 1 species